rnacentral:rRNA from 1 species
GAUGAACGCUGGCGGCGUGCCUAAUACAUGCAAGUCGAGCGAACAGACGAGGAGCUUGCUCCUCUGACGUUAGCGGCGGACGGGUGAGUAACACGUGGAUAACCUACCUAUAAGACUGGGAUAACUUCGGGAAACCGGAGCUAAUACCGGAUAAUAUAUUGAACCGCAUGGUUCAAUAGUGAAAGACGGUUUUGCUGUCACUUAUAGAUGGAUCCGCGCCGCAUUAGCUAGUUGGUAAGGUAACGGCUUACCAAGGGAACGAUGCGUAGCCGACCUGAGAGAGUGAUCGGCCACACUGGAACUGAGACACGGUCCAGACUCCUACGGGAGGCAGCAGUAGGGAAUCUUCCGCAAUAGGCGAAAGCCUGACGGAGCAACGCCGCGUGAGUGAUGAAGGUCUUCGGAUCGUAAAACUCUGUUAUUAGGGAAGAACAAAUGUGUAAGUAACUAUGCACGUAUUGACGGUACCUAAUCAGAAAGCCACGGCUAACUACGUG